ensembl:lncRNA
UGUUCUGCUUCAUCACUGUCUUCUCCACAACAACAACACAAAAUUUGAACUUCCAUGACUCAACCAUGACAGAGAGUAGUUCAUCAGGCUCAGGCAAACCACAGUUGUAGCCACAGCUGCCCUGGGGCAGGCUGACAGAAGCAAAGCUGACACAUCGCGCCAUCGUCCCCUCUGGCCAACACCAGUACGCGGUAGGGUAAAGUGUCUUGCCCAAGGACACAACAAUCAGGACAGAGAGAGCUGUGGAUCGAACCAGCAACCUUCCGGUUACAGAUGAGCUUCCCAACCCCCUGAACCAGCACUGCACGAUGGAAACACUGGUCAAGUCAAUAGAGGAAUUCCCACCUACAGAAGAAUGGAAGGAGAAAACAUCAGAGUUGAAUGCAAAUUUUCUUACUCUGGAACCAACAAGCUCUUCUGUAAGGGGAAAUGUGAAAAACAAAAUAUCCUAAUUGAAACAACAGAGAACGCAGCUAAAAAUGGCAGAUACAGCAUUCAGUAUGUAAAAAAAGGUUUUCUGUCAUCUGAUAUUCUGUAUGUGAGCA